rnacentral:rRNA from 1 species
GCCAGCAGCUGGCUCUCUGCGACUCCCACACGGUCGCCCAUUGAAACUAAGCAGGGCUGCGCCAGGUUAGUACCUGAAUGGGAGAUCAAAUGGGAAAGCUAGGUUGCUGCCGGAA